ACGCACGCGGAGGGCUCUGACACGCGGUCCAUACCCUGGCCGCCGGGACCGCGCCGAGCCACUGGCGAGACCGACCCGCGCGGUG
ncrna:unclassified sequences c-di-GMP-II-GAG riboswitch